CCUACGGGCGGCUGCAGUGGGGAAUAUUGGACAAUGGGCGAAAGCCUGAUCCAGCCAUGCCGCGUGUGUGAAGAAGGCCUUCGGGUUGUAAAGCACUUUCAGUGGGGAAGAAAGCCUUGGGGCUAAUACCCUCGAGGAAGGACAUCACCCACAGAAGAAGCACCGGCUAACUCCGUGCCAGCAGCCGCGGUAAUACGGAGGGUGCGAGCGUUAAUCGGAAUUACUGGGCGUAAAGCGCGCGUAGGCGGUCUGAUAAGCCGGUUGUGAAAGCCCCGGGCUCAACCUGGGAACGGCAUCCGGAACUGUCAGGCUAGAGUGCAGGAGAGGAAGGUAGAAUUCCCGGUGUAGCGGUGAAAUGCGUAGAGAUCGGGAGGAAUACCAGUGGCGAAGGCGGCCUUCUGGACUGACACUGACGCUGGGGUGCGAAAGCGUGGGUAGCAAACAGGAUUAGAUACCCGGGUAGUC
rnacentral:rRNA from 1 species